UCCGAUAUGGUGUAACUGGCUAACAUUGCCGCCUUUCACGCGGCAGCUCGGGGUUCGAUUCCCCGUAUCGGAA